AUACUUACCUGGCAGGGCAGAUACCAUGAUCACUUUGAGAUUGCUUUUAGCUAUAAAUAAAAUGUAUUAUUAUCAUUAUUAUUAUGAUCAAGAAGGUGGUUCACCCAGGGCGUGGCUCAGCCAUUGCACUCCGGUUGUGCUGAUGCCUAAGAAGUCCCCAAAUGUGGGAAUCUAGACUGCAUAAUGUCUGUCUGAGGUACAUCCA
rnacentral:snRNA from 1 species